GAAUUUAUUCUAGCAAUUUCUUUUUAGAAUGGUAUAUUCAAAGCGAAAUCAAAUUUGAAGAGUACAUUGGCUAACUUCCGAGUGCCGAAUAAUCGACCAUCCAAACUGGUCGUAAGGAUAAGCGUUAAUUGAUAAUGUUAUAUAUUGUACACAUCAUGCAAUGAAACAGCAGUUCUGUUAGGUGUCUCAUAACUUUGUUCGUUUUUGUACGAGGAUUUCAGUGCUCACUACAGAGAUACAAGGAAAUUUUGGAUCUACGUCGUUGAAUCCCAGUUCCGAUCGUAAGGCCUGGAUUACGCAAUAGACGAGUGCUACCAGAAACAGAGCGACUGCGAAGCGCCGAGGGUAGAACAAAGCAACUCUCAUUUUGCAGCUAUCUACCUACACGCAUUAAAUCUACGGGGAUGGAAACUGGGAGAAACUUAUCGCCGAUGAUUGAACCGCUCGGAAACCUUCAGUGCGCCGUCGUCGUGAUCGUCGGCUCGUUUGACGACGUCAACUCAGGCCAAGAGGUGAGAAUUACGAAGAAUAAGGUGGAGCAGGGCGAGAAACUUGAAAGUUGGCGAAAUGGCACUGGGUUGAACAUCAUCGCACAUUUUCAACAUCUGGAAAUUCUCUUAGUACAGAUGUUUUUCAGACUGAAUUAUCAGUCUUCGCCAGUGCUUCCCCAAGCGUUCUACAGAGACAGGGCGGAGUAUCAACCCUUCGAAGUACCGAGGACCGAUCGAUGAAACCCCGAAUGCUGUUUAUGCGGAUCGAAUUAGUCAUGGUAAGCGCGCCUCAAUUCACGGACGUGCUGAUCACACACCGGAGGACGCUCAGCCGGCAUGUGAAGACUGAUCUCGUGAGAAAAACUACUAAAGUUGCUGCGCGAUCCCGAGUUCUGAGCUCUUCCCUCUCUACCUGAUUCUCAGCUACGUACACAGGGAACGGAGAGAUGGAACGAAGCUCCUUGAAACUUUGAGUGUAUUUUAACACGCAUUUGAAAGGUGCAGGCAAAACUUUUUAUCAUCCAACUGUCGCAAAACGGCAGCAUUAUUAGCUGACACGUUGACUGAAGGAUAUAUCUUCAUUCAACGGCUGACCAUCGAAGGGCCUAGCCGCGUGAGUCUGGAAUCGGCAGGAAAGAUAAAAAUUCGAGGCGAUUACCGGUGGUCGUUGGAGGUGGUUGGUCGUGGUUGGAGGU